UUUUGAUACUUAACACAAUCACUUUUUAUUAAAAUUGUUUAUUUAAAUGAAUGUGAACAUUAAAAAAGUUAAGUUGAACAUAAAGUAGAUUUCACUGUAUGUUCAUACUAAUAUUUUAUGUAUUGAUUUAAUUUUUUAACACUAGUGUUUAUCAUUACAGAACCACGUCUGUCUUCAGGUGAAAUAGCAGGGAUUGUUGUUGUUCUGCUGGUGUUUGCGACUAUAGUUGCUGUUGUGUAUUUACUAUCGCUGGAAGAGCUCUAACUAGAAUAUGAAGUGAAAGUCAGUGGUAGUGAUCGAGGGGGGUUCUGUCACUCUAAAGUCUGAUACUAAAAUACAGACAAAUGAUGCAAUCGUAUGGAAGUUUGGAAAGGAAAAGUCUCCUAUAGGGAAAUUUAAGGAGACCGAGAUCACUAUGUAUGAUGUUCCUGAUGUUGAUUUCAGAGACAGACUGAAUGUGGAUCAACAAACUGGAUCUGACCAUCACAAACAUCACAACUCAACACGCUGGACUCUAUAAGCUAAAGAUCAUUGGAAGUAGAAAAACCUCAUUCAUGAGAUUUAUGUUAUUGUCUCUGAAUCUGCUGAAUUCAGAGGACAAGUGCCAGAGCAAAUGCAAUUGUUGCAAUCGGUUGCGUGGAGUAACAAUGCUUACAAUUUAUACAACAGUUCCAGCGUUGUAUCAUCUGGAGACUUGUGUUAACUUGAUAGCUUUACACGUUUCCCCCAGAUGUUAGACGGUGACAGAUUCAGUGUUUGCCAUAUUUUACAAGCCAGUAUUAUAUAUGACUGUUUGUGUACUGUUAUGUGAUUCUAGAAGAAACAAGCAUCAAUAGGAUUCUGUGGUUGAGCUCACAGUGCUAUAAAGCCUUUAGCUGCUGGUCCUUAAAUAAUAUCAGUGUCCAAUUGUUUUUAUCUUCUGUGAAUUUGUGUUGUCUUCAAAGAGGAAUGGGUGUAGUGGUGCCGAAGUCUCCUAAUCCAAGUGAGAUUUCUUAUAUAGACAAUACCAUUGUUUUAAUGUGAUGCGAAAAAGACAAGUUGGUUAUUGUUACAAAUGUUUUUCAUAAAAGGUAUUUUAAUAUCAGAGCUAAAAUGCUAAAAUUAUAUGGCAAAAUUCUAAAAAAAAAAAAAAAAAUGUAUAGCCUAUCACAGAUUUUAUUAGGGGAAUUAUUAUACUGAAACUUUGACAAAAGAAAGUGCCUUAAAUUUUGAUCCACAUAAUGAACAAUAUGUUUUCUUUUCUGAAACAACAAUCUUAAAAGAUCUUUUAAUAUGCAUGUAAUAAAUGUCAUUAACAUAGACCUGACUCAUAAUGGGCUGGUAUUUGUGUGUUUGUUUGUCAUUAAAUGGUUUUAGUGAGUGUGUCAUAAACACUAGGCUAAAUGUAAAUAAAUGCCAUUUAUAGUAAUCAUUGUUUCUGUUCAUUCGAGUUCAAAACUCUGUUUAAAACUCUGAAACACGAAACUUUAACUUUUCCUUUAAUCAACUCAAUCCUGAACACAGUGUCAAAUCAAACUGUAAUUCAUUUUGGAAAAGUGGAGCUAUCUUGCUAUUGAGGUUGUGUUACACACACCAGAUGUCGCUCUUUUGUACCUAAAGAGUCCAUAUUGUUACCUUAAUUGUAAAGGUACAUAAAAAAGGUACCGCCCCAGUGGACAGCUACAUUACCUUUAUUGCUGUGGAGUGUAGUGUUCAAACUUUAUUAAAUAUAUAUCAGGCAAUCAAUUUUUUCCCCUUCUUUUGGUUUUUGCAUUUCUGCUAAUUUUGUAUACUUUCCCCGAACAUUUCAAAAUAAGAUGAAUAGCUUAUUAAGUAAUUUGUGAAAAUAUGAAUCUUUCUUCUAGAGGUCAAAUUAUGUUGGCGUCUAUUGCUUUAAUUUCUGAAAGACUUUACAUCUGCUUUCUUGAAGUUCCAGCACGAAACAGUGAAAAAACAAUGUGGUAGGGUAUGCGUGGAAUUAUAUUGUACAGAUUAUGAAAAUGAAAGGCAAAUGUUGUUGUUCAUAAAAUUGCAGGAAAAAGGAAUCCAAGACAUGUCAUUAAAAAAUCCUGUUGGCAAGAAAACAAGGUGUUAAAGAUGAGGUGUUGCAGUAUAUAAAAGCAACAACAUUAUAUUUGAGAAUAUAAUUAAGUAAUUAAUUAAUACGAGUUUUAUGUAUUUAGUUAUAAUAGUUUGUAUUUAUUUAUGUACUGUAUGUAUUUAUGUAAGUAUUUUUUUAUCUAAAUUUUUUUAGUUAGUAAGAGUAGUCCUUCUGCGUUGCUGUUGGCGGUAAUGCACCUAAAUGCUGGUAUGCCAACCACCAAUAAACAAAAGAAGAAGAAGGAGAAGAAAGUCGUUGUCACCACAAAGGUCUUUUUUAUUGUAGUUUGUAAAUGUCUGUUUUGGGGUUUGUUUCAUGUUCUUGUUGUCAUGUCUUUUAUU